AACGAACGCUGGCGGCACGCCUCAUACAUGCAAGUCGAGCGCGAAACCACCUUCGGGUGAUGUAGAGCGGCGAACGGGUGAGUAACAGGUGGGUAAUCUGCCCUUUGGCGGGGGACAACAGCUGGAAACGGCUGCUAAUACCGCAUGUGAUUGUGGACUUAUGGUCUGCAAGGAAAGGCGCCUCAAAGCGCCACCAAAGGAUGAGCCCGCCCCCCAUUAGCUAGUUGGUGAGAUAACAGCUCACCAAGGCAUCGAUGGGUAGCCGAGCUGAGAGGUUGAUCGGCCACACUGGAACUGAGACACGGUCCAGACACCUACGGGUGGCAGCAGUAGGGAAUAUUGCGCAAUGGGCGAAAGCCUGACGCAGCGAUGCCGCGUGAGUGACGAAGGUCUUAGGAUUGUAAAGCACUUUUCGACGGGUACGAUGAUGACGGUACCCGUAGAAGAAGCCCCGGCUAACUUCGUGCCAGCAGCCGCGGUAAGC
rnacentral:rRNA from 1 species